rnacentral:ncRNA from 1 species
CUCUAAUAUUAUUUUCGAUGUUCAAGUUUAUGGACUUGUUCCAAUAAAGUAUUAGAUAUUAAAGAGGUUUAUUCCUUCCGCAAAAGGUAAAAAAAGAUUAGGUUUUAGUAUAACCCAGUAAGAAAUGAAAGGCAUACUAAAAU